UCCACGGCCACGGCCUACAACAUAAUAGAUCAUGAUCAACUUUCAACAAACCACAUAUAUAAUUCCACAUAAAUAAUUGUCAAAAAGGUGGUGCUUGGACAAAUCUAAUGGCGUGAGUCACAUCUUGAAAUUCUAACAACGAAGAAGAUAGCAACCACCAACCAGCUCUCCAUAACAAAUAUCAACUAUUGCAACAAUAGUUAAAAAAUUACAUGCAUCCCAUCUACAUCAGUUGCAAGCAUCAAUGAAUCUUGUGCAAAUAGGUAUUACAAUCAAUGAAUAAGUUAUACAUGAAUUAACAGUAGAAAAAUAGUUUAUUAAAACAAUUGCCUUGAUGUCACUUGCUAUUCUUGCACCACUAGCAUGACAGUUGUAAAGAUUGCCUUUUUAGAAGCAUCAUAUUGAUUAAGGAGAAUUUUGUUCAAAUAAUAUAAAUCUGUGCUUUGACAUUCCAGGAAAAUCCAAUAAUGAAGCAGGCAAGCUGUAUAAAAAGGAUUAAGUCUAGACUCUGAAGCAUGCACUAGAAGCUAUCCUAUAAACACCUACAAAAAUGUAAACCAAUAUUAAUCACAGGUUAAAAAAAGAAGGGAAGGGAGGAAGGGGGGACAUACCACGGGCUUGAGCAGGUGCAUCAUAGUUGUAGCCUCCAUCUUGCUGCACGUCAUUAGGAGGUCCAUUGUAUACUCUCCCACGGCCACGUGAACUACGUCCUCUUCCUCUACCUCUACCCCUACCCCUACCCCUACCUUGGCCCCUGUUGCGAUCCCAACCACCAUCUUCAUACUCGGCAACAAAUCCAUUU
rnacentral:misc_RNA from 1 species